rnacentral:lncRNA from 1 species
GCUUUCAUUACCCACAGUCUUUUGCCAGAUGAAGCCAGGGUUUGGCACACUGGUUCCUCACCUCACUCAGAAUUAUCCCAAAGAUGGACAAUGCAGUGCACAUGCUUGAGACCUAAUGCUUCAAGGUACAGACCUUCUAGCAGGUGCUGUAGCCAUUACUAUGAUGCCAAAGGGAAGAACAGUGAUUCCUGAACAGAGAUAGGGAAGCCUCAAAGUAACAGAAGAUGAUGUGUCUGUUGCGGGUCAAUUGACUUACAAGAUAAAUGUUGGCACCAGAUUUGAUCAGGAUGUUGCCAACACACAAAUGAAGAGGGUGGGGUGGCACCACCAUUGCUACUGUACUGGCAUGCUCCAUCACCAUGGAAGGCUUGGUAGAGAUUAGCAAAGGUGUUAAUCCAGUGGAAACCAGGAAAGGUGUGAUGUUAUGUGCUGAUACUGUAAUUACCAAACUUAAGAAGCAGCCUAAACCUGUGACAACUCCUGAAGAGAUUUCUCCAUUUACACAAUGUCUGCAAAUGGAGACAAACAAAUCAGCAAUAUCAUUUCUGAUGUAAUCACAAAUGUUGGAAGGGUGUCAUCACAGUAAAGGACAGAAAAAUACUGAAUGAAUUAGACAACAGAGAUUGACCAAGAUUACAUCUCUUCCUACUUGAAUAACAUAUGAGAAGUCCAGAAAGGAGAAUUCUAGGAUGCUUGGGAUUUCCAGUAAGCAGUUAAUUGUACCCACCUUAAAAUUGCCAAUGUCCACUGAAAGUCUUUGGUCAUAAUUGCUGAAGAUGCUCUCAGUAUGAUCAUUUAAAAUAGGAUAAAAGUUGGCAUUUGGGCUACAGUAGUCAAAACUCCAGGCUUUGGUGACACAGAAAGACCAAACAAAGCUAUUGCUAUAAUGGCAUGGUGUUUGGAAGAGAGCUUGACCCUAAAGCUUGAAGAUGUUCAGUUUCAUGACUUAGGAAAAGUUGGAGCAGUCAUUGUGACCAAAGAUGAUGCCAUGUUCUUGGAAGGAAAAGGUGACAAGACUCAAACUGAGAAAAAUAUGCAAGAAAUAAUUGAGCAGUUAGAUGUUACUAUUAGUGUCUAUGAAAAAGGAAAACUAGAAGAACAUCCGGCAAAAUUUUGGAUGCAAUAGCUGUGCUGAAGGUUGAUGGGAAAAAUGAUGUGGAAGAGAAUGAAAAAAACAGAGUCAGAUACACUGAAUGUUACAGGAGUUACAAUUGAAAAAGAUAUCAUUUGGGUGUUUUGCCUUGGUACAUUUCAUCCUUAGAUUCACUGCUCCAGCUAAUGAAGAGUAAAAAGUUAGUAUAGAAAUAAUUAAAAGAACACUCAAAAUUCUGGCAAUAGCUAUUGCUAAGAAUUCAGGUGUUGAAGGAUCACCCACCGACAGUCGAGAAAAUUAUGCAAAGCUCCCCAGAAGCUGGUUAUGCACUACGCUCAGAGAUUUUUUGAAAAUGGUAGAAAAAAUAAUCAUCAACUCAACUAAGGUUGUAAAAAGUGCUUUGUUGGAUGCUGCUUCCGUGGAUUCUCAGUUAACCACAGCAAAACUGAGACCACUGGAAUUCCUAAAGAAGAGAAGGAUCUGGCAUGGUAAAUGGGAAGCAGUGUUGGGAGUAGCAUGUUCUAG